UAUUUACUCACUACCAACCUAGGCUAGGAGCUGACGACUCGUUUGGCCGUCCAAUGGCUCUAGCCAACAGAAUCUCCGGCGGCGGCGACCGGCAACGUGCACCUUAAUUGGCCACCGUGGAAGCCUCAAGCAAGAGAUAUCUCACUAGUGAAGUUGGGCAGCCCGGUGACUCGACGAUGAAGGAUGAAGGUGAGAUCGAUGCAUGGCUAUGCUGCAGGCAGGGCUCAAUGAAGUAGACGAGAUGCUGAAGGCAGUAGAUCAACGAUAGAGAUGAGAUGCCGACGGCGGCGGCUUGAGGACAAUGAGGACGAACAUAUUACAAGGUGCGGCUGCACACCGACGGUGAUGAACGUGCUUGGCAAUCCGUAUGAUGGGCUGAUGGCCAGUGUUUCAACAUGACGCCGACGGGCGCUGUGGGCGUGGUUAAACGAGUUCAUCCAUGGCAUAUCAUAUAAAUUGGUUGAUGCACCAGGCGGCCGAAGAACAUGCAUGCAAAGUCAAUGUACAUAUAGCUAUCCAGUAUAAUUCUUCAUUUAUUGGAGAACACAUACUUCUUUGGAUCUUUCCGGUGUAUACUUCUUCAUUCAAGAUUGAAGCAUACAGUCAAUAAAAAAAUCAGUAUAUACCGCCCUAA